UUCUCCCAACACACACUCUUUGCCAUGGAUGAGACGAUGAGAAAUGCUGCACAAGGAGGACAUAUUAAUGUCUUAUAUGAGUUGAUUCAGAAUGAUCAAUAUGUUUUAGAGCAUAUUGAUCAUGUUCCUUUUCUUGAUACCCCAUUGCACGUGGCAGCCUCUGCAGGGAAUAUAGAGUUUAUGAUGGAGAUGAUGAACUUAAAGCCAUCGUUUGCAAGAAAGCUAAACCAAGCUGGGUUUAGCCCCAUGCACUUGACUCUGCAAAAUGACAAAACUCAAGCAGUGCUUCGACUCCUCAGGUUUGAUAAAGGCCUUGUUCGUGUCAAAGGGAGGGAGGGCUUGACUCCUUUGCAUCAUGUGGUUCAAAAUGGAAAUGUUGAUUUUCUGAUCAAGUUCCUUGAGGUUUUCCCCGACGCUAUUGAAGAUGUGACUGUUCGAGAUGAGACGGUUUUCCAUCUUCCAUAAAAAAUGACAGGUUUGAAGCUUUCCAAGUCUUGGUGGGGUGGCUUAUAAGAAGCCGCCAUGAAGCUGCCAACCGUUGGGAGAAAGAACUACUGAGUUGGGCAGACAUUGAUGGCAACACUGUUUUACAUGUUGCUGCUAGCAGAAACAGACCUCGGGUGGUAAAAGUACUGCUGGAACACAUGCGGCGAGACCAAAUCAAUGCCAAAAAUUUGGAGGGAUUGACAGCACUAGAUAUCCAAUCACAAUACCCAUGGAAUGAAAAGCGAGCGGAUAGGAUUGUUGAUAUGCUAAGCAAAGCAGGAGGUUUGAGUGGUUCCUCUUCCUCGCUUCCCUAUACCUCCAUCUCUUCAUUCCACAUCGAAUUUUUAAAAGAAAAGGUGUCAGUUUUUCAAAAAUUUGCAACAAUAGCAAGUCGUGGAAAGAAGGGAAUCCCAUAUGAGAUGCGUAAAACAUUUUUAGUAGCCACAGUGCUAAUUAUAACAGCCACAUACACUGCCACUUUGAACCCUCCAAAGCAGCCUGAUAGCAUGUCAAAAUUCUUGAAUUACCAACUCUAGUAUCACACAUCUUUAGAUUCAACCAGCACUGCACCCGAACCAAGUCCUGCAACCGGUGAAAAAGAAAAUUUCGAAAAUUUACUAGACGUGUCCACUAUGUUUUGGUUAUACAACACUUCAACCUUUUGGGCAGCAGCUGUUUUAACUGCCUAUCUCCUACCGAGCCGUUCAAUCUGCUUGUUUAUUCUCAUAACACUUUCCUUGUUUGGGACCUGUUACAUGCUUUUAGUUGCUGUUUCCAUACGGACACUCGCAUGUAAGUAUUUAUUCUUGUUGAAGUUGGCCUGCAUGCAGCAUGUGAAGAAGCCAAGUGUCAAGAAGCAGCCCGAGCAAUGCAUGCAGCUGUAAAGAAAAGAGAUCAAACUGUUGUAUUAUUAUCGGGUGAAGUAUGCAUCUUGAACAUGAAAAGGUGGCCAUGCAGCUUGAGACCAAUAGCCAGAAGCAGAAGCUUAUUGAUGCUGUCCGAUUUAAACUCAUUUUGGUUACCUUAAAUUCAUAGUUUGUAACUUAGUUCUUUUAGAACUUAGUUGGUAAAUCUUUUGAUGUAUUUUUUGAUGUUGAUUGACUGAAAAUUCAGCAAAGCAACUUGUGCAAGCUAGUUUAGCAAUUUUCAAUGUUUUAAGUGGUGUUAGGUAAAUAUUUAGGUAGUAUUUUGACUUGUAAUGAUCAUCUCAUGUUUGAUAUAUGUAAUGGCAGUUUGCCAAUGUUUAAUUAAUGAAAAAUCAUCAUCUUUUUCAUUCAA